rnacentral:rRNA from 1 species
UGGGGGAUAUUGCGCAAUGGGGGAAACCCUGACGCAGCAACGCCGCGUGAAGGAUGAAGGUCUUCGGAUUGUAAACUUCUGUCUUUGGGGAAGAAAAAAAUGACGGUACCCAAGGAGGAAGCCACGGCUAACUACGUGCCAGCAGCCGCGGUAAUACGUAGGUGGCAAGCGUUGUCCGGAUUUACUGGGUGUAAAGGGCGUGUAGGCGGGAAGAUAGGUCAGAUGUGAAAUCUAUGGGCUUAACCCAUAAACUGCAUUUGAAACCAUUUUUCUUGAGUGUCGGAGAGGUAAGUGGAAUUCCUAGUGUAGCGGUGAAAUGCGUAGAUAUUAGGAGGAACACCAGUGGCGAAGGCGACUUACUGGACGAUAACUGACGCUGAGGCGCGAAAGCGUGGGGAGCAAACA